GCCAGGCAUGGUGGCUUAUGCCUGUAAUCCCAGCACUUUGGGAGGCUGAGGUGGGCGGAUCACCUGAGGUCAGGAGUUUGAGACCAGCCUGGCCAACAUGGUGAAACCCCAUCUCUA
ensembl:misc_RNA Metazoa_SRP Metazoan signal recognition particle RNA